rnacentral:rRNA from 1 species
GGACCCGCACAAGUAGUGGAGCAUGUGGUUUAAUUCGAAGAUACGCGCAGAACCUUACCAACACUUGACAUGUUCGUCGCGACUUUAAGAGAUUAAAGUUUUCGGUUCGGCCGGACGAAACACAGGUGCUGCAUGGCUGUCGUCAGCUCGUGUCGUGAGAUGUUGGGUUAAGUCCCGCAACGAGCGCAACCCUCACUUUUAGUUGCCAUCAUUUAGUUGGGCACUCUGAAAGAACUGCCAGUGAUAAGCUGGAGGAAGGUGGGGAUGACGUCAAGUCCUCAUGGCCCUUACGUGUUGGGCUACACACGUGCUACAAUGGCAUUUACAAUAGGAAGCAAGAUGGCACAUU